CACUUUUUCUUCUGUGGGCCUACUUGAGUUUCAGCACUAAAUUCAAGACAUUUUUGCCUUUGAGGCAAUAGACCCUAAUCCCGUCCUUCUGUGAACAUUUCUGGCUUAUUUCUGGAGAAGUGGGGGAGACGGGGCAUGCUGCAGAACAAGGGAGAGUCGUGUAGAUAUGACUGUGGCAUGGAAGAACGUCUGGGAGGACAGGGUUUGCGGCAGCAUGAGUCACGUGGCUUCAGUAAGCGAUAGAGCGGGAGGAGAGCAUUGACGUGGAGAUCCCACUGAGAGAAGGGGAGGAGUCUGCAGGGAAUUAACGAGAAUGCUGAGAGCAUCAGUAGAUAAGACCGAUGACCUUAUGUGGAUCAGGUUCUUAACUGCAGGUAUCAGAAUCCACUUAUGCUAAUUUAAGCAGGAAGGGGUUUACUAAAGGGUGUUAAUUGAUUUACAGAAUCUCUAGGAAGGCCACCAGGCUUGGAAGUUGUACAUAAGAACAAGGCAGCCACAGGUAGUGCAGCCAGGAGAAAUGAGGAGAAAUCAGACCUUAAAAGAGUGGUCUCAAGGUGUGUUCCCAGACCAGCAACAUUAGCGUCACCUGAGCAUUUAGUAGAAACGCCAACUCUGACACCUCACCCCAGACCCACUGAAUGAGCAACUCUGGGGAUGAGGUCCAGCAGUCUGUGCUUUAACAAGCUUUCCAGAGCCCAAAAGUCCCAUCUGGUUUCAGUAUCAAGCUCAAAGCUGAGGAUCUCAUGACAGCCUCUAUGUUAGAGAAUGAGGCGCAGUCUCAUCGGUCUGGAGUAUGGCUGCUCUUGAUCUGGAAACUAGUGGACUAGAAAGGAACUUGAAAGUGGGACUCCACAAGCAACUGACAGAAAGACAGCCUCACCCUCAUCAACCACCAUUCUUGCUCCUCAUCUCACUGGUUCUUCAGAAGAGGGGACUCGAGCAUUGGGAAGGGAGUUGGACUGCUGGCCCCACGCUUCUUCCCAAGUCUGUUUAAUCAACUAUUCUACUUAUUCUUUCAUUUGUUCAGGAAGCAUCCAUUGGUCUGUGAUUUGUAAGCACUUCAUGAUAUUUCAUGAAAUCUCUACAUUCCAUCCAUUUGGCUUGCUGGAAGUUCAGUGACCCUGAGUCUGGAGGCAGGGGGUUAUUAUCACCUACAUUUUACAGAUGUGGAAACUCAGGCUCAAAAAGGUGGCGUAACUUGCCCACAGUCUCAGCUGUAAAGUGGGAAACCGGGAAUCUAGUUAAGUCUGUCUGAAUCCAGAGCUCCUGCAUUUUCCUCCUGGAGCAGGGUAUCGCUCCUUCUCCCAUCCACAGGCUUGGGGUUGGUUUGGGGUCGGUUGUAUGGUGGUGGUGGUGGUGGCCAUAUGGCACAGGGAGGAAGAACACCAUGCUUCUCAGGUAAUACGGAGGAUAGUGCAAUAUGCAGACGUAGACACAAGGGGGCAGAGAGCCACAGGGCACACAGCUCCCCUGGCCGGGGCUGGGUAUGGUUCUUGUUUCUUGCUUCCUAUACUUUUUUUUUUAAAUUAAGAAAAGGAUGUGUACAACUAUUAAAUAUAUACCUGAACUAUAAAUGUUUCAUAAUAUGCUGCAAGAAAUAGUGGAGGAAUUGAAGAACGUAAAACAAAUGUGGAGAGGAAAGAAUGAGAGCAGUGACGUCUCAACACGGUACAAGGCAAAGAGUCACUUAAAAUUUCUUUUUUCUUUUUUUAUGAGUAUGGUGAUUUAGAUGAAACAUUGCAACAAUUUCUUACUCAAUGGUAUUUUAAUUCCUACCUUUUCUUUUUUUUUGGAAAAAAAUUAGACCUCUUUAAAUUAUUUUUACUGGAGGGAAAAAUAUCUUUAAUUAUGGAACAGGAAGGGAAUAUAAUCUCAUUUUAUAGGAAAGAAGUCUGCAUGGAUGGUGUUUUAUUUUAGUCUUUCAGUAUUUUAGAAUGUUAGUACUCAGACUUGAAGUCAUGUUGUGUUUCUACAACUGUAGGCAGAAAUAGGCUCAUCUCUUGAUAUUGCCCGCAGAGUGAAUGGAGUUAAGGCAAGAGCCGGAUCUGGUGUAGCUGGUCCAGGGAGCCCCCUUGGGGCCCUCACUUUACAUGAUGUGAAGUUCAGUAUGUCCACGGCCUACAGGAGAAAAUAAUUUUGGCUUUUUUUGAAGGAGUCUGGAACAUGCUUUCAAAAACGAAGACUCUCCCACUUAAACCACAUGGAAAUCUGAAGCAUUCUAUUUUGUGUGCUGUGAUUAUUGGUCACUGAAGCUUCAUUAGUGAAAAGAAACACCCAGCAGAGCAGGAGCCAAGCGUUUGGUCUAGUGAGAAAUGAGGGCCUGAAGCUGUCAGCUGCAGAAUGGAAGGGGGGCCCGUGGCAGGGCAGUACCUUCCUGCCCUGUAACUCAGAACCAGCAAAGGGGGUCAAUGUUUUGCUUGUUUAGUCCCUUAUUAAACUGGACUUCAUCUCCAUAUUGAUCGCCUUCCGUGCAGGUGAAUGGAUAUGUUAGGAGUGUAUUGUUCUGAUCAGUCCUGGUUGUCUAGCGAUAUAUCCACUGAUACGGAUAAGGCCAUCCCUCAUAACCCUUGUUGGAGCCAUGCUCCUCUGCAUCAUGCAGACACAUUUCCUUGGCAAAGAAGACCAGUGUUUGAUGUUCAGAAAUGAGAGAACCCAAGGAGCCUCAGCUCUUUGUGGAACACACUGGGGAGAAGUUAUGAGUAAUAAAGUGGGUGACAUGAGGGCUGAAGUUUAAGAACUCCUGUGGCAGUUUGGUUGGGCUCAGUUGGAGGGUGUGGGAGGAAUGUGAUGGGGCUGAACCCAAAUUAUGGAGGAAACUUCAUCAUGCCAGACCAAGGAGGAAGUGAGGGAUCCAUUGGGUGGCUUUAAGCAGGGAAUAAUAUGACCACACUGGAGGUGGAAAGUCUGGCGGUGGGGAGAUCAAUUCAGACCCUCUUGCAACAGUCCAGGAGCGGUGGUACCCUGGAUCAAGGGACUAGAGGAGAGAAGGGGAUGGACAAGAGUGCUCAGGGAGGUGGACUUGAUGACCACUAGCUAAUGGGAUUUGAUGAGGUGAUGCAUGUGAAGUGUUUAGCACAGUAUCAGGCCCACAGGAAGUUACUGAUAAACAGCAGCUGCCAUUGUAUGGGCGGACAGGAGAGGGAGCCGUUACAGAGGAGGGGAGCCUUGAACAUUCUACAGUGCAACCCGACCCAGGAGUGAUGGAAUCAGUUACUCCGAGACUAAGAGGAUCACAGGAGUGAAUGAAGCCCACCACUGCCUCACAGCAGAUCCUAAUUCCUGAGAGGACCUCCUUUCCCCUCACACCCCGCAAAGACAGCUGCAGAUUCCUCAGAAAAAUCUUCCCACUGUCCAUGGGCUUCUAUCCUUUUUCCUUUCUCCCCAUCAGAGCAGCUUGCCGGGCGGGGUUCAGUCCUGCAGUGGACAAUCCAAUCUGAACAUGGACGUCUACAGCUUAACGGGUUACCCACCGGCCCAGCUGUUGGCCAUGCUCACAGGGUAACUAGGAAG
rnacentral:lncRNA from 1 species